rnacentral:sRNA from 1 species
AGCUGCAGGCUGAGGGGAUCAUGGUGCAGUAUGAGCUGUGGGCCGCGCUGCCUGGCGCCUCCGGGGUCGCCCUGGCCUGCUGCUUCGUGGCGGCGGCCGUGGCCCUGCGCUGGUCCGGGCGCGGGGCGGCGCGGGGCGCGGUGGUCCGGGCGCGACAGAGGCAGCGAGCGGGCCUGGAGGACAUGGACAGGGCGGCGCAGCGCUUCCGGCUCCAGAACCCAGACCUGGACUCAGAGGCACUGCUAGCCCUGCCCCUGCCUCAGCUGGUGCAGAAGUUACACAGUAGAGAGCUGUCCCCUGAGGCCGUGCUCUUCACCUAUGUGGGAAAGGCCUGGGAAGUGAACAAAGGGACCAACUGUGUGACCUCCUAUCUGGCUGACUGUGAGACUCAGCUGUCUCAGGCCCCAAGGCAAGGCCUGCUCUAUGGCGUCCCUGUGAGCCUCAAGGAGUGCUUCACCUACAAGGGCCAGGACUCCACGCUGGGCUUGAUCCUGAAUGAAGGGGUGCCGGCGGAGUGUGACAGCGUAGUGGUGCAUGUGCUGAAGCUGCAGGGUGCCGUGCCCUUCGUGCACACCAAUGUUCCCCAGUCCAUGUUCAGACCGUGAACCCAUGGAAGUCCUCCAAAAGCCCAGGGGGCUCCUCAGGGGGUGAAGGGGCCCUCAUCGGGUCUGGAGGCUCCCCCCUGGGCUUAGGCACUGAUAUAGGAGGCAGCAUCCGCUUCCCCUCCUCCUUCUGCGGCAUCUGCGGCCUCAAGCCCACAGGGAACCGC